UACGGAGGGGGCUAGCGUUGUUCGGAAUUACUGGGCGUAAAGCGCACGUAGGCGGAUUGUUAAGUCGAGGGUGAAAUCCCAGGGCUCAACCCUGGAACUGCCUUCGAUACUGGCAAUCUAGAGAUCGAGAGAGGCGAGUGGAAUUCCGAGUGUAGAGGUGAAAUUCGUAGAUAUUCGGAGGAACACCAGUGGCGAAGGCGGCUCGCUGGCUCGAUACUGACGCUGAGGUGCGAAAGCGUGGGGAGCAAACAGG
rnacentral:misc_RNA from 1 species